rnacentral:rRNA from 1 species
UACGUAGGGGGCAAGCGUUGUCCGGAUUUAUUGGGCGUAAAGAGCGUGUAGGCGGCCAGAUAGGUCUGUUGAUGAAAACUCGAGGCUCAACCUCGAGACGCCGAUGGAAACCAUUUGGCUAGAGUCCGGAAGAGGAGAGUGGAAUUCCUGGUGUAGCGGUGAAAUGCGCAGAUAUCAGGAAGAACACCCGUGGCUAAGGCGGCUCUCUAGUACGGUACUGACGCUGAGACGCGAAAGCGUGGGGAGCGAACAGG